CAAAGUUGUUGUGUAGUCGAUUGCAAAAAUACAAGUCGAAAUAGCAAUUGUAAAUUUUAUAAGUUUCCGGUUGCCAAUUGGAAAUUAAAUCAGCGAAAAAAAUGGAUCGCUGCUGUUAAAAGGCAAAAUAUUGAUGGAUCGUUAUGGUCUCCAAAACCUAUGGAUGUUAUAUGCAGUGAACACUUCAUUAGCGGUGAAAAAUCAGAUAUUGAAUCAAGUCCCAACUUCGCUCCAACUAUUUUUCCAUCAGCUUAUAGACGACGUAAAGUCAACGAAUCUGCCGUUUUGAAUAGACACAAACGCUUCAUGGAGAGAAGAAUAAUGAAAAAGU